rnacentral:rRNA from 1 species
AUUGAACGCUGGCGGCAGGCCUAACACAUGCAAGUCGAACGGUAACACAGAGAGCUUGCUCUCGGGUGACGAGUGGCGGACGGGUGAGUAAUGUCUGGGAAACUGCCCGAUGGAGGGGGAUAACUACUGGAAACGGCAGCUAAUACCGCAUAACGUCGCAAGACCAAAGUGGGGGACCUUCGGGCCUCACACCAUCGGAUGUGCCCAGAUGGGAUUAGCUAGUAGGUGGGGUAAUGGCUCACCUAGGCGACGAUCCCUAGCUGGUCUGAGAGGAUGACCAGCCACACUGGAACUGAGACACAGUCCAGACUCCUACGGGAGGCAGCAGUGGGGAAUAUUGCACAAUGGGCGCAAGCCUGAUGCAGCCAUGCCGCGUGUAUGAAGAAGGCCUUCGGGUUGUAAAGUACUUUCAGCGGGGAGGAAGGCGGUGAAGUUAACAGCUUCACCGAUUGACGUUACCCGCAGAAGAAGCACCGGCUAACUCCGUGCCAGCCGCCGCCGUAA